rnacentral:rRNA from 1 species
UUAUCGUACCACGAGAGGCGCCAGGGCUGUCGCUGACCUCUGUCAUGAGGUCGUGCACGCCCGAGGCGUCCUCGCACAAUCCAUCCCACACACCCCCCUUUGUGCAUCACCGCGUGGGCUCCUUUGGGUCGCUUCGAUCCAAGCGGGGCUUGCGCUUUUUACACAGACGUGCAGUGUAGAAUGUCCUAGCGAUUGUACGCAAUCAAUACAACUUUCAACAACGGAUCUCUUGGCUCUCGCAUCGAUGAAGAACGCAGCGAAAUGCGAUACGUAAUGUGAAUUGCAGAAUUCAGUGAAUCAUCGAAUCUUUGAACGCACCUUGCGCCCCUUGGCAUUCCGAGGGGCACACCCGUUUGAGUGUCGUGAAUUCCUCAACCUUCUGCUUUUCUUGAUAGCAGAAGGCUUGGACUUUGGAGGUUCUUGCUGGCCCCUCUCUUCAGAGGCCAGCUCCUCUUAAAUGGAUUAGCAGGGUCUGCCUUUGGGCCGAUCCUCGACGUGAUAAGCUGUUUCUACGUCUUGGAUUUGGCUCUGCCUCUCUUUUGAGAGA